rnacentral:tRNA from 1 species
GCGCCCAUAGCUCAACUGGAUAGAGUGUGUGCCUUCGAAGCACAAGGUUCCAGGUUCAAGUCCUGGUGGGCGCG